UACGUAAGUGGCGAGCGUUAUCCGGAAUUACUGGGCGUAAAGCGUGCGUAGGCGGUUUAGUGUGUGGGAAUUGAAAGCCCGGGGCUCAACUCCGGAUCCGGUUCCCAAACUGCUAGACUCGAGCGUAUCAGAGGAGAGCGGAAUUCCCGGUGUAGCGGUAAUAUGCGUAGAUAUCGGGAGGAACACCAGUGGCGAAGGCGGCUCUCUGGGGUAUUGCUGACGCUGAGGCACGAAGGCCAGGGGAGCAAACGGG
rnacentral:rRNA from 1 species